CAUGGUUAGUCGGUUCCUUUUCUUUGUAUGAAUCUGCAAAAAUGAUGUGUCAACUAAUUAAUAGGAGUUUGGACAAUUGAGAUAUAAUUUACUAUAACUCAAAAUACAAAAUAAUUCUUUUUAUUUCUCACGUGUUAAAAAACACUCCAGUUCCUUUCACAACCGGAUGAGCUACAAGUUAAGCUUAGAACUUUGACGGCGAAAAUCUGUAUCUCCGGAGUCUCUGCACCAUAUGUGUCCCACCAUUCAGCUAUAGAAGUCAAAAAAUAUAUUCAAGAGUUAAUAAGUAUAUAAAAUACAUCGAAGUUAGAGUAAUAAAAUAUAGAAACAC
rnacentral:lncRNA from 1 species